CAUGUGAGUCUAUGUGGUAAAUACAGGGAUGUCCACACCACCAACUACACAUGAUCAGUGUCCUCUCCACAGUCACUGAGAUCACAGGUCCUCACCAUGGGAUGGAGCUGGAUCAUCCUCUUCCUGGUGACAGCAGCUACAGGUGUCCAAUCCCAGGUCCAGUUGCAGCAGUCUGGGGCUGAGCUGGUGAUGCCUGGGUCCUCAAGUGAAGUUGUCCUGCAAGACUUCAGGCUUCAACUUCAUUAAUAGCUAUAUGCACUGGGUGAAACAGAAACCUGGACAUGGCCUAGAGUGGAUUGGAAGGGGAGAACCAGAAAAUGGUGAUACUAAGUACAACCAGAAGUUCCAGGGCAAGGCCACAGUGACUGCAGAGACAUCAUCCAGCACCACCUACAGGGAGCCCAGCAGCCUGACAUCUGAGGACUCUGCUGUCUAUUACUGUGCAAGACACAGUGUUGCAAACACAUCCUGA